AUGGACGCAAGUCUGAUGGAGCAACGCCGCGUGAGUGAAGAAGGGUCUCGGCUCGUAAAGCUCUGUUGGUAGUGAAGAAAGAUAGAGGUAGUAACUGGCCUUUAUUUGACGGUAAUUACUUAGAAAGUCACGGCUAACUACGUGCCAGCAGCCGCGGUAAUACGUAGGUGGCAAGCGUUGUCCGGAUUUAUUGGGCGUAAAGCGAGUGCAGGCGGUUCAAUAAGUCUGAUGUGAAAGCCUUCGGCUCAACCGGAGAAUUGCAUCAGAAACUGUUGAACUUGAGUGCAGAAGAGGAGAGUGGAACUCCAUGUGUAGCGGUGGAAUGCAUAGAUAUAUGGAUGAACACCAGUGGCGAAGGCGGCUCUCUGGUCUGCAACUGACGCUGAGGCUCGGAAGCAUGGGUAGCGAACAGGAUUAGAUACCCUGGUAGUUCAUGCCGUAAACGAUGAGUGCUAAGUGUUGGGAAGUUUCCGCCUCUCAGUGCUGCAGCUAACGCAUUAAGCACUCCGCCUGGGGAGUACGACUGCAAGGUUGAAACUCAAAGGAAUUGACGGGGGCCCGCACAAGCGGUGGAGCAUGUGGUUUAAUUCGAAGC
rnacentral:rRNA from 1 species